UGGUUCUGGCAUCGAUGAAGAACGCAGCGAAAUGCGAUAAGUAAUGCGAAUUGCAGAAUCCGUGAGUCAUCGAAUCUUUGAACGCACAUUGCGCCCUUUGGUAUUCCGAAGGGCAUGCCUGUUCGAGCGUCAUUAUCACCCCUCAAGCCCGGCUUGUUGUUGGAUCGAGCCCCGUUAAACGGGCUGGUCCCAAAGAUAAUGACGGCGUCUGAGGACCCCAGUACACUGAGCUUUCGGGCACGUACUUGGUAAGACUUCUAGACACCGUUUAACCAAAGAGGUGAGGGUUUACCCUCGCUUCUUACUUUCAAGGUUGACCUCGGAUCAGGUAGGAAUACCCGCUGA
rnacentral:misc_RNA from 1 species